UACGUAGGUGGCAAGCGUUGUCCGGAAUUACUGGGUGUAAAGGGAGCGCAGGCGGGAAGCCAAGUCAGCUGUGAAAACUACGGGCUUAACUUGUAGACUGCAGUUGAAACUGGUUUUCUUGAGUGAAGGAGAGGUUGGCGGAAUUCCGAGUGUAGCGGUGAAAUGCGUAGAUAUUCGGAGGAACACCGGUGGCGAAGGCGGCCAACUGGGCUUUAACUGACGCUGAGGCUCGAAAGUGUGGGGAGCAAACAGG
rnacentral:rRNA from 1 species